GACCCUGUAGCUCAGUCGGUAGAGCAAGCGGCUUUUAACCGUUAGGUCGUGGGUUCGAGCCCCACCGGGGUCA
rnacentral:tRNA from 1 species